CCCUAGUCUUGCAUCUUUUAAGAAGUGCCUUAAAACCCAUCUCUUUAGGAAAGCUUAUGGCCUCCAAGACUAACCUCUACCUCACAUACUUGUCUCUUGCUCUCUCCUAAAGGGCAGCCCACCUUAUUUGACUGCAAAUUCCUGUCCUAAUGUGUUUUACACCCCACCUCCUAUAGACUGUAAGCUCGAUUGAGCAGGUUCCUCUUCAACCUAUUG